rnacentral:rRNA from 1 species
AGUGAACGCUGGCGGUAGGCCUAACAGAUGCAAGUCGAACGGCAGCACAGUAAGAGCUUGCUCUUACGGGUGGCGAGUGGCGGACGGGUGAGGAAUACAUCGGAAUCUACUUUUUCGUGGGGGAUAACGUAGGGAAACUUACGCUAAUACCGCAUACGACCUACGGGUGAAAGCAGGGGAUCUUCGGACCUUGCGCGAUUGAAUGAGCCGAUGUCGGAUUAGCUAGUUGGCGGGGUAAAGGCCCACCAAGGCGACGAUCCGUAGCUGGUCUGAGAGGAUGAUCAGCCACACUGGAACUGAGACACGGUCCAGACUCCUACGGGAGGCAGCAGUGGGGAAUAUUGGACAAAGGGCGCAAGCCUGAUCCAGCCAUACCGCGUGGGUGAAGAAGGCCUUCGGGUUGUAAAGCCCUUUUGUUGGGAAAGAAAAGCAGCAGGUUAAUACCCCGCUGUUCUGACGGUACCCAAAGAAUAAGCACCGGCUAACUUCGUG